CGCGGAGCAGGCCCCUCGCCCGCGCCAUGUCUGAGGAGGGAGGCGGCAAACUGCGCCUCAAGCCCAGGAAGGCGCCGCCGGGCCGCAGCCGGGAGCCCCCCGCGCGGCGCCAAACAUUGGCCAACAGAAACUCGUGGUUUGAACAACAAGGAUUAAGUGAGUCUGAAAAUAUGUGGAUGCUGAUACUGAAGGCUGUCAAUCCAGAUCUAAAACCCACAAGCUGGGAAACAGUGCCCAGUUUACCAGAAUUUUUUGGACAGAAUUCUGAAAAUGAGAAGAACCCACCAAAACCAGAAGUCUUUAAGGUUGGAAUGAAAGAUUUUCAAUGGAUACCUCUCCCAUCUUUCUACAAAGAAAAAGCUCUUAAUAAAAAGAAUCCAAGCUGCUGUCACAUAUCAAAAAGUCAAACUGAGCAUCUAAUGGAAAGAGAGGACCAGGCAGACCAAAACCAGCUAAAUAUUGUUCCUGUAGUUGAGAAAAUAUCCCUUGCAAUUAAUGAUGAUCCAGGUGAGAUCAUAAGAAUGAAACACAGCAGGAAAAGUUCUUCAAAACUGAAAGAAAAAGGAAGGACUGAAAGGUGA
rnacentral:lncRNA from 1 species